UGGGCAGUAUCAUAAUGAACUGCACCUUUCUAUCUUUUUAUAUUGAAUAGUUUCUGCCUAGAUCCAGCAUAUGGACCGGGACAGAGGG
rfam:Bacillus infantis NRRL B-14911, complete genome.